AGUACUGUGAAUUUGAUUGCGAAAAUGGAAGAAAUCGGAAAACAGCACGAUAAAUCUGUUGCCCAAGUCGCCAUUCGCUGGGUUCUUCAGAAGGAGAUCGUGACAUCCGUGAUUGUGGGGAGCUACAAAGCUGGCACAGUUAGAGAGUAAUGUUGGUGCGGCAUCCGGAUGGCAACUCACAGAAGAGCAGAUGGGGACGUUGGGAUAACGCAUCUGCGUACGAAGUACCAUAUCCGUAUGAGAUGAUUUUCAGGAGUAACAAAACAACGGAUUCGUAAUGGUCAGCUGCACUGAUUAGUUGAGCGGGCCUGGUAACUGACACCACCUAUUAUUACAUGGGCAUUAUCUUAUUAUCCCUCGGGAAACAAUCUGCUAAUGAGGAUACCUCAGUAUUAAAUAAUGAUCGAAAAUGGUGCAUACGCAUGUGUAUAACGUAUUAUUUUCUGUAACACAAUAUUGAUCAACACUCUGAUGAGGCAAUGUGAUGAAGUUUUGCAGUUCCAUGCAAUGUUGUUUACUCUGUAGUGAGAACGGAUUCAUUUAUUCUCACAUCAUACAACACAGCAAAUUUUGCCCAAAAAUGGUCCGGAUCGUUGAAAAUUUAGUUUGAACCCUGUGUGGUUAAAAACAGACAUAUAUCAGUUAAAUGCAGUUAUGAUGGUUAACACGCAUUUGUGAAAACUUUCACUGGGAGAAAAAACAACCGACGAUUGUUGAUGUGCCACUUUCUUCCAACACUGCGGCAGAUUUACAUAUUAACGAGAAAGUAAUGAGUGACCUCUGUUCAAGUUGCUACUUGUCAGUGAUGAACUACUUCAUCUCCGUUUGUUAUUACAGAAUCUUCAGUAUAUAUUGCCAGAUAUAAUUUUGUUACAGAUAAUCAGUUUUUAUGAUGAAACAGCUAAACCUAAAGGCUGAUUUUCCUCGGGCUGUUUGAUACUUCAUUGAAGAGUGGUUAAAUGUCAUUCGUCUCCCCGCCUGAACUGAAAUAAACGUAAAUAUUUGA